rnacentral:rRNA from 1 species
AAGAAAGUAAGCAAGGGCGCAUGGCGGAUGCCUUGGCUCUCGGAGGCGAUGAAGGACGUGAUAAGCUGCGAUAAGCUUCGGGCAGGUGCAAAUAACCUUUGAUCCGAAGAUUUCCGAAUGGGACAACCCGUCAUUCUGAAGGAAUGACAUCUUGCAUAGCAAGAGGCUAACACAGGGAACUGAAACAUCUUAGUACCUGUAGGAAAAGAAAAUAAUAAUGAUUCCCCUAGUAGUGGCGAGCGAACGGGGAUUAGCCCAAACCAAUGUUGUUACGGCAAUAUUGGGGUUGUAGGACCACGAUGUCGCAAGAAGUUUAGUGAGAAGAACCCUUUGGAAAAUGGGACCAUAGACGGUGAUAGUCCGGUAUUCGAAGCUAAAUGAAGCGUAGUGGUAUCCUGAGUAGCGCGGGACACGAGGAAUCUUGCGUGAAUCUGCCGGGACCAUCCGGUAAGGCUAAAUACUCCCGAGAGACCGAUAGCGAACCAGUACUGUGAAGGAAAGGUGAAAAGCACUUCGAAUAGAAGAGUGAAAUAGUCCCUGAAACCGUGCGCCUACAAGCGGUCGGAGCUGCUUCAGCAGUGACGGCGUGCCUUUUGCAUAAUGAACCUACGAGUUACUUUUUCCGGCAAGGUUAAGGAUCUUGAGAUCCGCAGCCGAAGCGAAAGCGAGUCUUAACAGGGCGAUUAGUCGGAAGGAGUAGACGCGAAACCAAGUGAUCUACCCUUGGUCAGGUUGAAGGUUAGGUAACACUAACUGGAGGACCGAACCGAUAAGCGUUGAAAAGCUUCCGGAUGAACUGAGGGUGGGGGUGAAAGGCUAAUCAAACUUGGAGAUAGCUCGUACUCCCCGAAAUGCAUUUAGGUGCAGCCUUGGGAAUUACUACUGUGAGGUAGAGCGACUGAUAAGAUGCGAGGGCUUCACCGCCUAUCAAGUCUUGAUAAACUCCGAAUGCGCAGUAGUUCGAUCCCAGGAGUGAGGGCAUGGGUGCUAAGGUCCAUGUCCUAAAGGAGAAGAAUCCGGACCAUCAGCUAAGGUCCCGAAAUAAUUGCUAAGUUGAACUAACGAAGUCAGAUUGCUAAGACAGCUAGGAUGUUGGCUUGGAAGCAGCCAUUCAUUUAAAGAGUGCGUAACAGCUCACUAGUCGAGGAGUUUGGCGUGGAUAAUAAUCGGGCAUUAAGCAAUUUACCGAAGCUAUGGGAUGUUAACUAAACACUAACAUCGGUAGGGGAGCAUUCCACUCUGCGUCGAAGGUGAAGCGUGAGCUUUGCUGGAGCGUGUGGAAAAGCAAAUGUAGGUAUAAGUAACGAUAAAGGGGGUGAGAAACCCCCUCGCCGAAAGACUAAGGUUUCCUGAUCAACGCUAAUCGGAUCAGGGUUAGUCGGGUCCUAAGGCUCAGCCGAACGGUGAGGCCGAUGGCAGAACAGGUUAAUAUUCCUGUACUACCUUAAGGAGUGACGUGGAGACGGAGGAGUGACAGCGCCGCGGACUGACGGAAUAGUCCGUUGAAGGGUGUAGAUGUUGAUUAUCCCAGGCAAAUCCGGGAUAAGAGUCGAACCUGAUAGUAUACCAAAUUCUUCGGAAUAAGGUAAUAGUGCGUGUAAGCAUACUCCCAAGAAAAUCCGCUAAACUUAAUCUUUAAGGUACCCGUACCGCAAACGGACACACGUAGUCGGGUUGAAUAUACUAAGGCGCUUGAGUGAUUCACGGUUAAGGAACUAGGCAAAUUGACCCUGUAACUUCGGGAUAAAGGGUCCCAACGAGAGUUGGGCGCAGAGAAUAGGUCCAGGCAACUGUUUAACAAAAACACAGGGCUGUGCCAAAUUGAAAGAUUACGUAUACAGCCUGACACCUGCCCGGUGCUGGAAGGUUAAGAGGAGAUGUCAUCGCAAGAGAAGCAUUGAAUUGAAGCCCCAGUAAACGGCGGCCGUAACUAUAACGGUCCUAAGGUAGCGAAAUUCCUUGUCGGGUAAGUUCCGACCUGCACGAAUGGUGUAAUGAUCUGGACACUGUCUCAACCGUGAGCUCAGUGAAAUUGUAGUAUCGGUGAAGAUGCCGAUUACCCGCGAUGGGACGAAAAGACCCCGUGAACCUUUACUAUAGCUUAACAUUGAAUUUGGGUAAUUGAUGUGUAGGAUAGGCCGGAGACUUUGAAUCAGGUACGCCAGUAUUUGUGGAGUCGCUGUUGAAAUACGGCCCUUUGAUUAUUUGAGUUCUAACUCGUAGAUACGAGGACACUGUUUGGUGGGUAGUUUGACUGGGGUGGUCGCCUCCAAAAGUGUAACGGAGGCUUCUAAAGGUGCCCUCAGGACGAUUGGUAACCGUCCGUAGAGUGUAAUGGCAUAAGGGCGCUUGACUGGGAGACAGACAAGUCGAUCAGGUAGGAAACUAGAGCAUAGUGAUCCGGUGUUUCCGUAUGGAAGGGACAUCGCUCAAAGGAUAAAAGGUACUCCGGGGAUAACAGGCUGAUCCCUCCCAAGAGCUCAUAUCGACGGAGGGGUUUGGCACCUCGAUGUCGGCUCGUCACAUCCUGGGGCUGGAGAAGGUCCCAAGGGUUGGGCUGUUCGCCCAUUAAAGUGGCACGCGAGCUGGGUUCAGAACGUCGUGAGACAGUUCGGUCUCUAUCUAUCGUGGGCGUAUGAAAUUUGCGUGGCUCUGACACUAGUACGAGAGGACCGUGUUGGACUGACCGCUGGUUUACCAGUUGUGCCGCCAGGUGCAUUGCUGGGUAUCUAAGUCGGGAUUGGAUAAGUGCUGAAAGCAUCUAAGUACGAAGCCAGCCACAAGAUUAGAUUUCUUAGGGUCGUCAAAGACGAUGACGUUGAUAGGAUGCAGGUGUAAAGGUGGUAACAUCAAAGCCGAGCAUUACUAAUUGCCCGUUCACUUUCUUUC